UGCCAAGGUGGCUCAACAGGUAGAGCGACGUCCUCAUAAGACGUGGGUAGCGGGUUCGAAUCCCGCCCUUGCAG
rnacentral:tRNA from 1 species